rnacentral:misc_RNA from 1 species
AACCAUAGAAACCUGCGGAGUACCUGCGGAAGGAUCAUUACCGAAGUACAGGCCCUUUUACAGGGCUAAACUUCCACCCCUUGUUUACUAUUCUUUGUUGCUUUGGCGAGACGUCUUCGGACCACCGGCUCUUGGGCUGGUGAGCGCUCGCCAGAGGAAAAUCAAACCCAAACCUUUUUUAGUGUCGUCUGAGAAACAAGUUUAAUUAUUAAAACUUUUAACAAUGGAUCUCAGAUCGGA